AGUGAACGCUGGCGGUAGGCCUAACACAUGCAAGUCGAACGGCAGCACAGUAAGAGCUUGCUCUUACGGGUGGCGAGUGGCGGACGGGUGAGGAAUACAUCGGAAUCUACUUUUUCGUGGGGGAUAACGUAGGGAAACUUACGCUAAUACCGCAUACGACCUACGGGUGAAAGCAGGGGAUCUUCGGACCUUGCGCGAUUGAAUGAGCCGAUGUCGGAUUAGCUGGUUGGGGGGGUAAAGGCCCACCAAGGCGACGAUCCGUCGCUGGUCUGAGAGGAUGACGAGAGACAAUGGGAUUUAGAGAAGGAUGAGAUCAUGACGGAAGGAGGACUGGGGGAAGGUUGGAGAAGGGUGGCAAGCGUUAAGCAGCAAUGGGGGGUGAAGGACGAAGGCAUUAGAGUUGCAAACUGCUUUGGUGCGGAACGAAAAGGACCUGCCUAAUACCUGGGGCUAAGGACGGUACCGUAAGAAUGAGCACCGGCUAACUCCGUG
rnacentral:rRNA from 1 species